AGCGAACGCUGGCGGCAGGCUUAACACAUGCAAGUCGAGCGGGCAUCUUCGGAUGUCAGCGGCAGACGGGUGAGUAACACGUGGGAACGUACCCUUCGGUUCGGAACAACUCUGGGAAACUGGAGCUAAUACCGGAUACGCCCUUAUGGGGAAAGGUUUACUGCCGAAGGAUCGGCCCGCGUCUGAUUAGCUAGUUGGUGGGGUAACGGCCUACCAAGGCGACGAUCAGUAGCUGGUCUGAGAGGAUGAUCAGCCACACUGGGACUGAGACACGGCCCAGACUCCUACCGGAGGCAGCAGUGGGGAAUAUUGGACAAUGGGCGCAAGCCUGAUCCAGCCAUGCCGCGUGAGUGAUGAAGGCCUUAGGGUUGUAAAGCUCUUUUGUCCGGGACGAUAAUGACGGUACCGGAAGAAUAAGCCCCGGCUAACUUCGUG
rnacentral:rRNA from 1 species